UACGUAUGGCGCAAGCGUUGUCCGGAAUUAUUGGGCGUAAAGAGCUCGUAGGCGGUUUGUCGCGUCGACUGUGAAAACCCGAGGCUUAACCUCGGGCCUGCAGUCGAUACGGGCAGACUAGAGUUCGGUAGGGGAGACUGGAAUUCCUGGUGUAGCGGUGAAAUGCGCAGAUAUCAGGAGGAACACCAGUGGCGAAGGCGGUGGUCUGGGCCGGAACUGACGCUGAGGAGCGAAAGCGUGGGUAGCAAACAGG
rnacentral:rRNA from 1 species